AAAAAGAAAACAACGUGAUCGACAGACACACAUGAAAAACGGUAUUUACGAUCAUUUUACAACCUGAACUAAGACACAGAAUCAGUAAUGUUUGCAGUGAUGACCCACUCAGAUGAAUUUAAGAUACAGUCAAAGGUGGUUACCCAAGAUGUAGGGUAAAGUGUCACUUGACAGCUAGAACAUUAUGGCAUGCAGGCAGGAGUCUUGGUUUGCAUUUAUCCUUCCUGGGCUGAUCAAACUGCAUGUGGACUUGUAUCAAACUUUUUCAAACAACCAUGGAUUAGUGCGGUAUAUUCUUAAGUGCACUCACA